GCCAACAAUAGCUCUGUUGGUAGAGCAUGAGACUCAGUCUCAGGGUUGUGGGUUCGAGUCUCACUUUGAGCA